GUACUCAUUUUGGCAACAUAUAUACUAAAGUUGAAACAAUAUAGAGAAAAUUAACAUGGCCCCUGUACAAUCAUGAUACACAAGUUCAUAAAGUAUUCCAUAUUUUA
ensembl:snRNA U6 U6 spliceosomal RNA